rnacentral:rRNA from 1 species
GACGAACGCUGGCGGCGUGCUUAACACAUGCAAGUCGAACGGUCAGGCUCCAGCUUGCUGGGGUACACGAUUGGCGAACGGGUGAGUAACACGUGGGUGUCCCGCCCUGCUAUUCGGGAUAUGACUGCGAAACUGGGUAUAUUACAGGAGAGGAUCAUGGUGUGGAUACUGUGGUGGAAAGAUUGUUCGGUGUGGGAUAGGCUCGCGGCCUAUCAGCUUGUCGGUGGGGUAUUGGCCUACUAAGGCGGCGACGGGUAGCCGGCCUGAGAGGGUGGACGGCCACAUUGGGACUGCGGCACGGCCCAGACGCCUACGGGAGGCAGCAGUGGGGAGUAUUGCAGAAUGAGCGGGAGCCUGAUGCAGCGACGCCGCGUGGGGGAUGACGUCCUUCGGGUUGUGAACUCCUUUCACCAUCGACGAAGGGUUUCUGACGGUAGAUGGAGAAGAAGCACCGGCUAACUACGUG